GCAGCUUUCAAAGUUCGUUUCGAGAAAAAAAAAAGUUUGUUUCGUUGCAAACAUGUCUGGCUUUUACAAAACAUUACUUGUGUCUCUGUACAGAAAAGAAAAAAUAAGAGAAAAAGAGAAGACGAAACCAAAGGCUUGAGGAUUUUUAUGACCAAAUAUCUAAAACAAACUGAGGAUGAGUCCGGAACGGAAUUGUAGAGGGGUGUUGCACAUUCAGAGCCAGAUUUAUUGAUGGAUUGCAAACAUUGGGAGUUGCCAACGCCAUUGAGAAUCACCAUGAGGCAAUAAAACCAAUUUUUGUUGGAGGACUUAAAAUGGUGAGCCACCAGGACAUGCAAAAACUCUUCAGCGUGCAACUCUCUCUGCCAGGGAGUAACAAGAGGAGGUUGGAGAACCAGACGACCAUCUUCUGGAAUGAUUGGCUGUUAGAGGUGGAUGAGGGAACGAGGCCAGUGACACUGGGGCAAAUAUUAACCUUUGCUUCAGGCAUGGACAACAUCCCACCGCUGGGCUUCAACACCUCUCCGACCAUUGAGUUUUUGCACAACGAGGACGGGAACAACCGCAUCUUCCCAGAGGCAAAUACUUGUGGGGAGGUCCUGCGGCUGCCUAUUCACCCUACCUAUGCACUCUUUGUACAGUAUAUGGAGUCUGGAAUAUUGCAGUCCCCUACAUUUGGAUUAAUCUAAUAAGAAAAUUUGCCAUUUAUACAGUUUGGUUGU